CUCUUGGUUUACGUGCACUUCCAUCUUCACCAUCUCUUUCGCACACAAAAAAGCCUAGUCGUGUCGCCCUUACACCAUCCCCGAUCAUCUUUCGUCCACCAUAAUCGUCCGACGAACAACUCGUUGUCAGCCCCGUCGUCAGCUUUCGACCAUGCCCAGACGUCUCUCUCUAUCGUUUGAAGCCCAACCAAGUCGCAUGUCAUUUUUGUCGCGUCCAUGUUUCAUCAUAUCUGAACCGUCAUCAUCUGCCGGCUAGCCACGUUUCAUCAUAUCUGAGCUGACAGUCUCCUCUUUUAGUCGCGCGCUAGUUUCCCUCUUUUUCCCGAGCCGAUUUGUCCUCACGAAGCUGCACGCGCACCAGAGUUCCCUGGUUGUCGAGCCGUCCGAGCCGUGUCCCAAAUCUGAGCCAAGCAUCUUUAGUUUUAGCCCUUCUUGCAACCUAUUUGAGCUAAUUUUCUAUUCUUUUUACUUUUUGGUUGUUGGUUAAAUUCUUUGGAGUAAUUGUUUGUGAAACUCUACCUGAAGGGUUAAAUUGGUUUCACCCUCUUUAUUGGGUUUGUCUAUUUGGAAGCUUUGAACAAAAUAAUUUUUGUUAAGCUAAUUUUAAGGCAAGGCAUUGAGGCCUCCUUGUGAAGGUUAAGGCGAGCUGUCAAGCGAUGAGGCGUUAAGAGCUAUGCUAGGCAUUGAGAGCCUAAAGUUUUAUAUUUAGUAUUUAUUAAAGUAUAAGCUUGUAUUUGUAUUAAUUUUUGUUUAAGAUUGAAUAAAAGUUGUUAAGUUUCCUCAAGUUUAAGUGUUAUCAAAGUUUA